CUGCUACCAUGCAGUCGAACGGCAGCACAGAGGAGCUUGCUCCUUGGGUGGCGAGUGGCGGACGGGUGAGUAAUGCAUCGGGAUCUACCCUGACGUGGGGGAUAACCUCGGGAAACCGGGACUAAUACCGCAUACGUCCUACGGGAGAAAGCGGGGGACCUUUUAGGCCUCGCGCGGCAGGACGAACCGAUGUGCGAUUAGCUAGUUGGGGGAGUAAUGGCCCACCAAGGCGACGAUCGCUAGCUGGUCUGAGAGGAUGAUCAGCCACACUGGGACUGAAACACGGCCCAGACUCCUACGGGAGGCAGCAGGGGGGAAUAUUGGACAAUGGGCGCAAGCCUGAUCCAGCAAUGCCGCGUGUGUGAAGAAGGCCUUCGGGUUGUAAAGCACUUUUAUCAGGAGCGAAAUCUGCAUGCUUAAUACGUGUGCAGUCUGACGGUACCUGAGGAAUAAGCACCGGCUAACUUCGUGCCACCAGCCGCGGAAAUACGAAGGGUGCAAGCGUUAAUCGGAAUUACUGGGCGUAAAGGGUGCGUAGGCGGUUCGUUAAGUCUGCCGUGAAAUCCCCGGUCUCAACCGGGGAAUGGCGAUGGAUACUGGCGAUUUACAGUGUGUCACAGGAUGGUGAUAUUCCCGGUGUAGCGGGAACUGGUUUAGAGAUCGGUGAGGAACAUCCGUGGCAAAGGGGCCCAUCU
rnacentral:rRNA from 1 species